rnacentral:snRNA from 1 species
GUGCUCGCUUCAGCAGCACAUUAAAAUUGGAACAAUGCAGAGAAGGUUAGCAUGGCCCCUGCACAAGGAUGGCACACUAAUACGUGAAACAUUCCAUAUUUUU